rnacentral:tRNA from 1 species
GGAGUCGUGCCUGAAGUAAAGGUUCGCCGUGAUGGGGCGACUCAUGAGGGUUAAAUCCCCUCCAGCUCCU